AGAUUCACCAGGACACAAGACUCACCAAACAUGUGCCUUUACUCAAAAAGUCACUGGAGCUGUUAGUUUGCAGAGUCAAAGCCAUGCUUGUCCUCAACAAUUGUAGAGAGGCUUUCUGGUUGGGUACUCUCAAAAACCGAGACUUACAGGGUGAAGAAAUUAUUUCCCAGCAUCCCUCCUCCCCAGAAAACACUUCAGAGGACAGUGAGGAUGGCAUGACAUCCUAUGUCUCCAGGAACAGAGCAAUAGAGGUAUCCGCACAGGCUGAUCUGGCAUUGGCAUUAAGUAUUUUAUUAAGUAUUCUUUGUUAGUAGAAAGUACAGGAUUUUUCUCUAUGUAUCCGUUGUUAAUUCUGUGCCCAUCUUCAUUCCCUAUGGGGAAAAAGAAGCGUAUAUGAAUGUUUCGGGAGCCAUAAAAUUCCAUUACAUCAUCUCAAGGUAUGUUGAAAAUUUGCAACCUAAGGGCAAUUCUAGCUCAGUGGUAGCACUCUGGUACUUAGCAUUUACACGUUUGUGCACUCGAUCCUCUGUACCAGAAACAAAGUGGGGGGUUUUUUCUUCCGUUAUAUAGCAUCCUGUUUUCCAUGAUCUUGUAUAUGUGUUCUAGAAUGGAGACAUGACAAGCAUGUUUGUUGUUAAAAGAGUUAAACCAUUUU
rnacentral:lncRNA from 1 species